AGGAGGGAGACCGCGAGGGUUCGGCGGCUGCGGAGGCACUGGCCAUUGGCCUGCACCGCCGCGCUCCUGGCCUGGCCCUGCGCCCGGGCCCGCCCGUCCCGCUUCCCCAGCCAGGUGAACAAGCUGCCAGUCUGUGGUCAUCUGCAGAGGGACGCUUUACUGGACAGGUCCUACAAGAAGCCAUAAACUGUGCCUCCAUUGGGUUCGAGCAUCCCACCCCAGAGCAUACGGGACUCCUGGAUUGAUGUCUGGAGCUGUGCAGUGCCACCGUAGCAGAAGGGGACAUACCAGCCUGGAUUAGGCACUAAGGGACACUGAGAGCUGGGGGCGGGGUGAAGGAUUCCCCCUGCUCUUGCCUGCUCAGGGGCAGCAGGAGCUGGGGCCGCAGGAUGUUGGACUUCCUUUUUCUCCUCAUGCCUAGGAGCUUCCUUGUGGAGCCCAGCAUCCUCCUCCCAGAGACCUUGGACUCAGAUGUUAUCAGAUGUCCACCCCCAGAACUCCCUUCCUCUCAUCUCCAGGGACUGUCGCUGGCCUACAGCCCAACCAAUGAGCUUAAAUCGAUCUCUGUGAUGAGCCCCAAUUACUGGUCUCAGGACCCUGCCUCAGCAUGGGUCUGGGGUUCCAGGAGAAAGAAGAUAGGACAGUCAUACACCAGCCUUUUCCCUCAGGUAUCCUUGGGACUUUUUCCUACUUUCGGCGCUUCCCUCAGUGGAGGAAAGCCUGGUGUGCCCAUCCAAGGAGCACCACACCUGCAAGGCCAGGGGAGUGGCAGACAGGGUUUCUCUGCAUAGCUCUGCAUGUCUUAGACCUUACUCUGUAGACCAGGCUGGCCUCUUAGAAGUCUGCUGAGGUCUGCUUUCUGCUCCCUGAUUGAGCGCACAUGCCUGGACCAGGUGGAUGUACAUGGCAGCCAUUCUGUACGAUCAUGCAACCGUUGACGAUGCACCCAGGCUGGAGAGACCCAGUGAGUGCUACCUGCUGAGCCAGAGGCUCAGGAACAGCAUCACAAACACGGCUUCCUAAGCUGCAAGAACGUAAUUCUCCAAUUCAACGGGCAAGAAUAUAGAUGGAAGGAAAGGCACGGAGGACUCCUAAAGAGGCUGCCAAUCACAGAGCUGGGGACCAAUCAGGAUUUUCCCUUCCUUGGCAGGCCCUUGGUGAAGCUGAAGUUAUCCAGGCAAGUGAACU
rnacentral:lncRNA from 1 species